rnacentral:rRNA from 1 species
AUGGUAUUGAGUAUUGCAAUAUCGAACUUCACAUUCAUUGCACCUAAUUUCUGGAACAAGACGAUCGCUUCAUCGGUGCAAUUAUUCCUACAAAAUCCUCCAAGAACUAUCCUGUAUGUGGAAAUGCUCACUGCUGUUCCACUUUCAAUCAUCUCAUUGAACAACUUCUUUGCAGCAAUUGUUGCCCCAGCAUGA